UUUUAUGAGAGUUUGAUCCUGGCUCAGGACGAACGCUGGCGGCGUGCCUAAUACAUGCAAGUCGAACGCUUCUUUUUCCACCGGAGCUUGCUCCACCGGAAAAAGAAGAGUGGCGAACGGGUGAGUAACACGUGGGUAACCUGCCCAUCAGAAGGGGAUAACACUUGGAAACAGGUGCUAAUACCGUAUAACAAUCGAAACCGCAUGGUUUUGAUUUGAAAGGCGCUUUCGGGUGUCGCUGAUGGAUGGACCCGCGGUGCAUUAGCUAGUUGGUGAGGUAACGGCUCACCAAGGCCACGAUGCAUAGCCGACCUGAGAGGGUGAUCGGCCACAUUGGGACUGAGACACGGCCCAAACUCCUACGGGAGGCAGCAGUAGGGAAUCUUCGGCAAUGGACGAAAGUCUGACCGAGCAACGCCGCGUGAGUGAAGAAGGUUUUCGGAUCGUAAAACUCUGUUGUUAGAGAAGAACAAGGAUGAGAGUAACUGUUCAUCCCUUGACGGUAUCUAACCAGAAAGCCACGGCUAACUACGUGCCAGCAGCCGCGGUAAUACGUAGGUGGCAAGCGUUGUCCGGAUUUAUUGGGCGUAAAGCGAGCGCAGGCGGUUUCUUAAGUCUGAUGUGCCCCGGCUCAACCGGGGAGGUCAUUGGAAACUGGGAGACUUGAGUGCAGAAGAGAGUGGAAUUCCAUGUAGCGGUGAAAUGCGUAGAUAUAUGGAGGAACACCAGUGGCGAAGGCGGCUCUCUGGUCUGUAACUGACGCUGAGGCUCGAAAGCGUGGGGAGCAAACAGGAUUAGAUACCCUGGUAGUCCACGCCGUAAACGAUGAGUGCUAAGUGUUGGAGGGUUUCCGCCCUUCAGUGCUGCAGCUAACGCAUUAAGCACUCCGCCUGGGGAGUACGACCGCAAGGUUGAAACUCAAAGGAAUUGACGGGGGCCCGCACAAGCGGUGGAGCAUGUGGUUUAAUUCGAAGCAACGCGAAGAACCUUACCAGGUCUUGACAUCCUUUGACCACUCUAGAGAUAGAGCUUCCCCUUCGGGGGCAAAGUGACAGGUGGUGCAUGGUUGUCGUCAGCUCGUGUCGUGAGAUGUUGGGUUAAGUCCCGCAACGAGCGCAACCCUUAUUGUUAGUUGCCAUCAUUCAGUUGGGCACUCUAGCAAGACUGCCGGUGACAAACCGGAGGAAGGUGGGGAUGACGUCAAAUCAUCAUGCCCCUUAUGACCUGGGCUACACACGUGCUACAAUGGGAAGUACAACGAGUCGCGAAGUCGCGAGGCUAAGCUAAUCUCUUAAAGCUUCUCUCAGUUCGGAUUGCAGGCUGCAACUCGCCUGCAUGAAGCCGGAAUCGCUAGUAAUCGCGGAUCAGCACGCCGCGGUGAAUACGUUCCCGGGCCUUGUACACACCGCCCGUCACACCACGAGAGUUUGUAACACCCGAAGUCGGUGAGGUAACCUUUUGGAGCCAGCCGCCUAAGGUGGGAUAGAUGAUUGGGGUGAAGUCGUAACAAGGUAGCCGUAUCGGAAGGUGCGGCUGGAUCACCUCCUUUCUAAGGAA
rnacentral:rRNA from 1 species